rnacentral:lncRNA from 1 species
UAGUUAUUUUGUUUUAUAGUAAAGUGGAUUAUUAAGCAACACAACACAUACACAUGGAAAGAACAAAGAAACAUAGUUAUUUUGUUUUAUAGUAAAGUGGAUUAUUAAGCAACACAACACAUACACAUGGAAAGAACAAAGAAACAUAACUGCUAAAGCAAAAAAGACUGCUUUACAACACUACGUAUUAUAGGCAAAGCAUUAAAAUUGUGAAGAAGAUACAACAAAAUCCUCCCCCUCCUGAUAAAAAAGUAUAGUGGAAAAUAAAAUAAAUCAAGCUUAUCAAGAAUCAACACAAGGCCAACAGAAUAAAAACAAAGUAUUCUAAUUAAAGUGAGACCAAAUGAAAUGAUUUCAGAAUUCAACGUUGGAAAAGUGAUAGUCCCUACACAAGCAUCUUGUGGUUGGAGGAGCUAUGGCCCAAGGGUAAAAUUAGCACUCAAACAAAGUCCAAAUCCUCUCAAAUCUCACUUGAAAAAAA